rnacentral:rRNA from 1 species
UACGGAGGGGCUAGCGUUGUUCGGAAUCACUGGGCGUAAAGCGCACGUAGGCGGAUGUGUCAGUCAGGGGUGAAAUCCCGGAGCUCAACUUCGGAACUGCCCUUGAUACAGCACGUCUUGAGUCCGGAAGAGGUGGGUGGAAUUCCUAGUGUAGAGGUGAAAUUCGUAGAUAUUAGGAAGAACACCGGUGGCGAAGGCGGCCAGCUAGACCAGUUCUGACACUGAGGCGCGACGAGCGUGGGGAGCAAACAGG